rnacentral:rRNA from 1 species
GCCAGCAGCCGCGGUAAUACGUAGGAGGCUAACGUUAUCCGGAUUUAUUGGGCGUAAAGCGCGUGUAGGCGGUUUGAUAAGUUGGACGUGAAAGCUCCUGGCUCAACUGGGAGAGGUCGUUCAAUACUGUCAGACUUGAGGAUGGUAGAGGGAGGUGGAAUUCCGGGUGUAGUGGUGAAAUGCGCAGAUAUCCGGAGGAACACCAGUGGCGAAAGCGGCCUCCUGGACCAGUCCUGACGCUCAGACGCGAAAGCUAGGGUAGCAAACGGGAUUAGAGACCCCGGUAGUCCUAGCCGUAAACGAUGUGAACUUGGCGUCGGUGGGAUUAAAUCCAUCGGUGUCGAAGCUAACGCGAUAAGUUCACCGCCUGAGGACUACGGCCCGCAGGUUAAAAACUCAAAGAAUUGACGGGGACC